rnacentral:rRNA from 1 species
UGAGUAACCUGCCCUUAACUCUGGGAUAAGCCUGGGAAACUGGGUCUAGUACCGGAUAUGACUCCUCAUCGCAUGGUGGGGGGUGGAAAGCUUUAUUGUGGUUUUGGAUGGACUCGCGGCCUAUCAGCUUGUUGGUGAGGUAAUGGCUCACCAAGGCGACGACGGGUAGCCGGCCUGAGAGGGUGACCGGCCACACUGGGACUGAGACACGGCCCAGACUCCUACGGGAGCAG